AGUCCCUGAGAACAAGCCGAUGACCACGCAGGCCAGCCAGGCCUUGUCCAGGGCAGUGAGCAGUCGGACUUCCGCUGCAUUUUGAGGGGAUGAAUGAGAAGGGGCCGUCAUGGUCCUCUUGUACCGCAACACCUGACACCAGAGCCCCUUCCAGGAGUGAGGGACCCGGGGCCAAGGCUCCCUCACAGUGACCAUGAGAUGGUGUUUGCCUGGUGAUGAAACUGACACUUGGGGGUGUCCAGGAACUUGCCUAAAGCCGCACAGCCGGGCAGAGGUAGAGAUGAACUCCAAAGGCACCUGCAUCACACUCUCAAGCCUGUGUCUCAUCUGUAUCCCUGUUGGGGUCAUUCUAAAAUGCAGGAGGAGCUGUCACAGGCCUCAUCCCAAGCAGCCACAUAUACUUCACAGGAAUCAGCAGUUUCAGUCCCUGUGUGAACCUAGGAAGCAGCCUGACCUCAAGACCCCAGGAAUUCAGCUGCUAAGAAACCAGAUGGCCAACUCAAGGAUGCUGACCAUAAAGAUCCACAUCAAGGCCUAUGGGAAGAUGUCCUGCAUGUCUAUAGUCCCCUCCCCCUGAAUUCUUUGUUCUGCUUUUCCCUCCCCUCCCUGAUGAAAACCUCUGCUUGCAUGGAGAUGUUAAGAUGGGCUUUGGAACAAGAGUCUCCCAUCUUCAUGGGUGGCUGGCACUUAAAUAAACCUCUUUCCUUUU